rnacentral:rRNA from 1 species
CCUGGCAGUCAGAGGCGAUGAAGGGCGUGCUAAUCUGCGAUAAGCGCCGGUAAGGUGAUAUGAACCGUUAUAACCGGCGAUACCCGAAUGGGGAAACCCAGUGUGACUCGUCACACUAUCAUUAACUGAAUCCAUAGGUUAAUGAGGCGAACCGGGGGAACUGAAACAUCUAAGUACCCCGAGGAAAAGAAAUCAACCGAGAUUCCCCCAGUAGCGGCGAGCGAACGGGGAGGAGCCCAGAGCCUGAAUCAGCAUGUGUGUUAGUGGAAGCGUCUGGAAAGGCGCGCGAUACAGGGUGACAGCCCCGUACACAAAAGCGCAUGUGCUGUGAGCUCGAUGAGUAGGGCGGGACACGUGGUAUCCUGUCUGAAUAUGGGGGGACCAUCCUCCAAGGCUAAAUACUCCUGACUGACCGAUAGUGAACCAGUACCGUGAGGGAAAGGCGAAAAGAACCCCGGCGAGGGGAGUGAAAAAGAACCUGAAACCGUGUACGUACAAGCAGUGGGAGCACAGGUUUACCUGUGUGACUGCGUACCUUUUGUAUAAUGGGUCAGCGACUUAUAUUCUGUAGCAAGGUUAACCGUAUAGGGGAGCCGUAGGGAAACCGAGUCUUAACCGGGCGUUAAGUUGCAGGGUAUAGACCCGAAACCCGGUGAUCUAGCCAUGGGCAGGUUGAAGGUUGGGUAACACUAACUGGAGGACCGAACCGACUAAUGUUGAAAAAUUAGCGGAUGACCUGUGGCUGGGGGUGAAAGGCCAAUCAAACCGGGAGAUAGCUGGUUCUCCCCGAAAGCUAUUUAGGUAGCGCCUCGUGAAUUCAUCUCCGGGGGUAGAGCACUGUUUCGGCUAGGGGGCCAUCCCGGCUUACCAACCCGAUGCAAACUGCGAAUACCGGAGAAUGUUAUCACGGGAGACACACGGCGGGUGCUAACGUCCGUCGUGAAGAGGGAAACAACCCAGACCGCCAGCUAAGGUCCCAAAGUCAUGGUUAAGUGGGAAACGAUGUGGGAAGGCCCAGACAGCCAGGAUGUUGGCUUAGAAGCAGCCAUCAUUUAAAGAAAGCGUAAUAGCUCACUGGUCGAGUCGGCCUGCGCGGAAGAUGUAACGGGGCUAAACCAUGCACCGAAGCUGCGGCAGCGACGCUGAUGCGUUGUUGGGUAGGGGAGCGUUCUGUAAGCCUGUGAAGGUGGCCUGUGAGGGUUGCUGGAGGUAUCAGAAGUGCGAAUGCUGACAUAAGUAACGAUAAAGCGGGUGAAAAGCCCGCUCGCCGGAAGACCAAGGGUUCCUGUCCAACGUUAAUCGGGGCAGGGUGAGUCGACCCCUAAGGCGAGGCCGAAAGGCGUAGUCGAUGGGAAACGGGUUAAUAUUCCCGUACUUGGUGUUACUGCGAAGGGGGGACGGAGAAGGCUAUGUUGGCCGGGCGACGGUUGUCCCGGUUUAAGCGUGUAGGUGUGUGUUCCAGGUAAAUCCGGUUCACUUUAACACUGAGGCGUGAUGACGAGGCACUACGGUGCUGAAGCAACAAAUGCCCUGCUUCCAGGAAAAGCCUCUAAGCAUCAGGUAACAUCAAAUCGUACCCCAAACCGACACAGGUGGUCAGGUAGAGAAUACCAAGGCGCUUGAGAGAACUCGGGUGAAGGAACUAGGCAAAAUGGUGCCGUAACUUCGGGAGAAGGCACGCUGACACGUAGGUGAAGUGAUUUACUCAUGGAGCUGAAGUCAGUCGAAGAUACCAGCUGGCUGCAACUGUUUAUUAAAAACACAGCACUGUGCAAACACGAAAGUGGACGUAUACGGUGUGACGCCUGCCCGGUGCCGGAAGGUUAAUUGAUGGGGUCAGCGCAAGCGAAGCUCCUGAUCGAAGCCCCGGUAAACGGCGGCCGUAACUAUAACGGUCCUAAGGUAGCGAAAUUCCUUGUCGGGUAAGUUCCGACCUGCACGAAUGGCGUAAUGAUGGCCAGGCUGUCUCCACCCGAGACUCAGUGAAAUUGAACUCGCUGUGAAGAUGCAGUGUACCCGCGGCAAGACGGAAAGACCCCGUGAACCUUUACUAUAGCUUGACACUGAACAUUGAGCCUUGAUGUGUAGGAUAGGUGGGAGGCUUUGAAGCGUGGACGCCAGUCUGCAUGGAGCCGGCCUUGAAAUACCACCCUUUAAUGUUUGAUGUUCUAACGUGGACCCGUGAUCCGGGUUGCGGACAGUGUCUGGUGGGUAGUUUGACUGGGGCGGUCUCCUCCUAAAGAGUAACGGAGGAGCACGAAGGUUGGCUAAUCCUGGUCGGACAUCAGGAGGUUAGUGCAAUGGCAUAAGCCAGCUUGACUGCGAGCGUGACGGCGCGAGCAGGUGCGAAAGCAGGUCAUAGUGAUCCGGUGGUUCUGAAUGGAAGGGCCAUCGCUCAACGGAUAAAAGGUACUCCGGGGAUAACAGGCUGAUACCGCCCAAGAGUUCAUAUCGACGGCGGUGUUUGGCACCUCGAUGUCGGCUCAUCACAUCCUGGGGCUGAAGUAGGUCCCAAGGGUAUGGCUGUUCGCCAUUUAAAGUGGUACGCGAGCUGGGUUUAGAACGUCGUGAGACAGUUCGGUCCCUAUCUGCCGUGGGCGCUGGAGAACUGAGGGGGGCUGCUCCUAGUACGAGAGGACCGGAGUGGACGCAUCACUGGUGUUCGGGUUGUCAUGCCAAUGGCACUGCCCGGUAGCUAAAUGCGGAAGAGAUAAGUGCUGAAAGCAUCUAAGCACGAAACUUGCCCCGAGAUGAGUUCUCCCUGAGACUUAGAGUCUCCUGAAGGAACGUUGAAGACGACGACGUUGAUAGGCCGGGUGUGUAAGCGCAGCGAUGCGUUGAGCUAACCGGUACUAAUGAACCGUGAGGCUUAACCUUACAACGCCGAAG